UACGUAGGUGACUAGCGUUGUCCGGAUUUACUGGGCGUAAAGAGCGCGCAGGCGGUCGUUCAAGUCGAGUGUGAAAGCCCCCGGCUCAACUGGGGAGGGUCAUUCGAUACUGAUCGACUCGAAGGCAGGAGAGGGAAGCGGAAUUCCCGGUGUAGUGGUGAAAUGCGUAGAUAUCGGGAGGAACACCAGUGGCGAAGGCGGCUUCCUGGCCUGUUCUUGACGCUGAGGCGCGAAAGCUAGGGGAGCAAACGGGG
rnacentral:rRNA from 1 species